GUGUGUGUGUGUGUGUGUGUGUUUUCUGUGCAGCGUACUCCACCCCCACCACAUCUCCAGCCCAACGGUUCGUCAGCGUCGGCCCUCGAGACCCCAGCUUCAACAUCCCUCAGCAGCCGCAGUGGUACCUGGGAUAAGGACUCCGGAGGCGCAGACGCCCUCUAUGGCCAGCCGCUGCAGCCUGUCCUCCAACACCAGCUGUCCCUGGUCAACCCCGUCACCGGUCCUGCAGAUCCUGGCUCCACCGUCAAUGACUCGGCAUCGGCAUGGCUAAAGCAGAUUAAGCGCUCCCACGCUGCGAAUCGUUCGUCCCAGAAUUCCUUGCAGACUCUUGGAUCGUAUAUCUGUAGUGCUGGAUCUGAGCCCUGAACCUUUUUCCCUGAAUCCCUGACCUGUGGGGCAACGGGGGAAGCGACCUCUUCUGGGAACGUCAUCAGACUGAGUCCCAGUUAUUCCUCUGUGGAGGACCUACCUAUCCAUCACUUUGUGCCGUGUGAACUUGCAGUGGUUUGAAGCCCUCAAGGCUGCCACCACCCCUUCCUCCUUAGUGGAUCCCUGCAGCCGGGAGUUGGCAGGGGGCCACCUGGCUCAGAGACACCAGCUGAAACAAACCUCCUGGGACAGACGCUGCCUCCUUCCCUAGCUCUCUUCAGGACUUGGACGGUAGCAUGAUGGGAGGAGCUGAGCCGGGGGCGGAGCAGCAUGAACUAACCGUGGGGGCUCUGGGUGGGGCAUCCUGAAGGUGGUCUGGAUUCGCUGCUACGCUUCACCAGGCGCUCGUUUCUCUGGAGGCUUCAUGGCUCAUCGGUUUCUCUCUUUUAGCCUCCAUUCUCUCCUUCCAUCCAUCCACCUGUCCAGGUGAAGAGGCAGCGUACGCAGGGCGGGCCGAACCCCCGGGGGUCCGGAGCCACGCCGCCAGUCAGGGGAGAGCCCCACCUCUCAAACUUAACAGUGAAAUCAUGAGGAAAAGUGCAAUUUUGUUGACUAGUUGUUGGAUUAUUAAAUAUAUCUAAAUGUAUAUUUUUCUUGUAGUCCGCUCAGACCUGGGACUCUAAAACACUGAGCGACAAACCGACACGCAGCCUUGGGGAUCCCCAACCCAGUGAGAAACCACCAAACCGCGUCGUUCUUUGAUAAUCUGGUAGUUUGAUAUGAGAACGUCUGAAUCAGAGAUCAGUUUCUGAGCAAAGGACUGAUGUUCAUUCAGCUCAAAUAGGAAUGAAUAACGAUUCCUUUAUUUGAAAUUUAUUCUGCGUCAGGGAAACAAAAUGUCUCCUGAGGCCAAAUCACAACAAUUUAAGCUUGAAACAAAUCAGUUUGGCAAGAUAAUCUGCCUGGCAACGGGCUGUCAUGUGAUUGGCUGGGUCUUCCAGAGGCUCCAUCCAAUCACAGGCACUUCUUCCUCCAGCUGGCCAAUAGGCUGUGAGUGUGUCAUCAGGGGGCGUGGUUUAUUUAUGAAGAUUUUAACUCUUCUUCAGUUUGUUUUUUCUUUCUUAUUCUAUAAAUAUCUAUAGACACACACACCCGACGUUAACAUGACUUUAAGUGGAAAAAGUCAUAAAAAUAAGUAAAAAAAAAUCUGCAUGUGUUCGUGUUUGUGGCCGUUUUCUCCAUAGAUGACGUAGUUAGUGAUAAACGGAUGAUAUUCCAACAUGAGGCACUUCCUGUCGGUUCUUCACUUCCCUACAACUCUCGGUUCUUUUCCUCUCAUGUUUUCCUGGCAGCAAUAGAACCGGUCCGGUCUUCAAAUCCAAAAUGUUAAUUUGUCUGUCCUGUGUCUAAAUUAGCUGAUCCUGGUCUCUGCGCCACAAACACUAGCAGGAUGUCCAACCUGUGGUCAAACCAGCUUUAAGGUGGCGUGGCCUGCAGGUGGCGCUGUAGGCUGAUUAAUUUUGGUUUUGUUAGGAGGAAGUUGUGAAGAACUCGUUCUGGAGGCGGUUAAAGGUCAGAUGGUCUCCUCCGUGUUUGAGGCUGGAUCUCCUGAAGUUCUGCAGAUGGAAACGUUCGCUGAACUUUUUCCACCAAAGCAGCUCCAGGUCCAAACCACAAGCUGCUCUACAGCCCAUAAUUAUCUAUACCCCUGGCAAGCUUAGCUCUAUUUUGUUUCUAAUAGGACACAAAGCUCUUUUUAUAUAGCAAACUUAUCUCUAUUAUAAGAGACAUAAAAAAUCUGCUUUAAUUAUAUUAGAAUAAUAAUCUGCAUCAAUUAUCAAUUAAAACAUUUUUACUCCCUGAUGAAUGAGUGAAGCUUACUAGCUACAUGCCUGUCUUGUUGUAUAUAUAGCCAAACAUUGGUUGAUACUUAUUCCUCUCUUGUCAAGUUUGAUUUUAGAUGUGCUCUGAUACCACCCAGUGGUCGGAGUGUGAACUACAUGCGGUUCAUGGAAGCGGAAUUGUGCAAUUGGCCGAUAAACUAUUAAUAAUCUGAAUCCUCAGCUAGGUUGUGCAAUAAAAAUAUAUUUUUAGACUGUUUUCUAUACAUGAUAUAUUAAAACAGACCACACGUUUAAAAUUCUAAAAUUUAUUUCUAAUUUGUGUUUGAAGUCUUUUAGUAACACUCGGCAACUAAUGAAUGAAAAUGAGUGAUGCUAGUCUUUAUAACCUAUAUAUAAAUUUAGAUAUAUUUGUAAAAAAAAAAAGUAAAUAGUAUUUUUAUUAUAUAUAUAAAUAUUCAUUAAUAAAUAAUUAUUUUCACAAGUGUAUAAUAUCUGUUUUAUCUGGAUUUAGGGAACACAAGCUUCUAGGACAUUACAGUAAAGACAUUUUUCAGUAGUUAGCUCUAUUUGAAACACUGCAGGAUAAAAACAAAUGGUUGGUCAAAAAUAUCUGCUGAAAAUCAGUUUGAAAACUGAUUUCAUGGGACUGCUGUGAAGGAAUUUUACAGUGUUUAAAACACUAUGAUGAUGAAAAAACAGUGGUUGUUCAAAAAGAAAAAUUUGACCUAAUUCAAUCUGUUUCAUUCCUUAACUGCCUGGUGUUGCUAUUUAGCAUCAUAGCUAAAUUUACACUAAUGGUGUCUGAAAUGUUCAAAUUUAUAAUGUCUAAGUUUUUGUGCACUCGGACAUUCAGGCAUUAAGGGGUUGUUAGCUUGUGGGCGGAGCAGCUUGUUGGUCCUCCACUGUUCAGAUGAGAAUUAAUGGAGUUAUAAACCGCAUUCUGAUUGGUUGCUGGAUGUUCUGGUUCUGGAGCAGAGAUCAGCUUAGUGGAGCCCAGACAUCCAACUCCAACUGGCGGUCAGCUUUAGAACUCCAGAGUCUCCCUGUUGUUACCACAGCGCUCCAGUAGGGGGCAGAGCAGCAGAAACAGCUUCCAGCGCUAUUUGCUGCUCAUUCAACUGAAUCCAGACCUUCUGGUCGACCACUUCGUGAUCUUCUCCGUCUUUCCAGGGAAUUUUCCAUCUGUUGCUGGAAGGUUUCACAUCUUCCCGUUUGUCUGCCUGAUUGUUCCCUGAUCCGAGUAUCGGAUGUAAAUUAUGCAAUAUCUGCUUGCACUCUGACACGUCUUUUUAUGGUUAGUUUUCCUUCCUUCAGAUCGAAGCCGGACCCUACUCAGCCGCUGUGGUGGCUCUGGUCCGAUGAGCCAGGCUGCUGUCUCAUGAACCCGACCUUAAACAAAUCCAAGCUGUCAUCCGUCAGAGUGCGGACGGUUCUGUGAAACGGAUCUGUCCGGUUCUGUUGGGUUUGAGGCUGUGAGGGCCGAGGGUCAGUUCUGUUCCUGCCUUGCCUUUAGCUGUGAGUUGGGCAUUAUCUAUCUGCACUAAAUAUGAGAUGGUGAAUACAGGAAAGCAGCUUCUAGGUCGAAUCGAUUAAAGGGAAUAAAAUGAGAAAAUUGUACGGACAUUUUUUUAAGUGUCAAAAAAUCUGAUCAGUUGGUUUGAAUCCGACUGUCGCUGAGCGUUUGAGACAUCUUUAAGGAAACUACAAUGAGUGAGCAGUAGUGUGGGCAGCGAGUUUGUUUGCUGUUUGUUCAUUUAGUUGGUUCUGCAGUGAAGGCAGAGGGAGCGCCUCCUACUGGCUGGAGCCCUGACUGAGUGCUGUAUAGUUUAUUGAUUUUAAAGCUGCCCUAUUUUCUAAUGCAGGACUUUUUUAACAAUGACUAAGUGAGGAAACUGUGGUGGUGUGAAUUUUCUGACUGUUUCUACGGAGGUUGUUUUUUUUCCUGGAAACUGGAUCCAAGUUGAAAACUUUCCCGUUUCCUCCUUUUUUCUUGAGUUUCCUUUUUUAUGUAUUUAUGAACAUUUCCUAUGUUGAUGCUCUUCUGCAGCCCAGAGUGACCCCCAUCCCCAUUGUAAAUGGAUGUUACAGUUUCUGUAUGUUCAGUGUUGAUGAAGCUGAAUUUAGUCCUUCUAAGGGAAAACAAAAUUUUUCUGCAUUUGAAGGAGUUUAGUUGUUAGGCAGGAGACAUAGCCGGCCAAACGAUGCCCAACUAGAAAUGCAUCCAGGCAUCUUUUUUUCUGUUCACCAUUCCAUGCAGAACAAUAAACAGCUUGAUUAUGCAACAUGAUUUUUUUCUUUCCCAUCUGUUUCUUUCUCCACCUCCUCCUCCUGCACGCCUCCACCGCUGCGGAGCGACGGGACGCCGUGAUCGGACCUCCUGCUACGGUUCCACCCAGGAAUCAAUUAUUCUAAUGAUCAGUAAAUCCUCUCUUUAAUGUCUCCAUUAACGGAUCAAUUCUUCUCUUUCUGCAUCUAAUGAUACAAAAACCCGAUCAGCAACCCAGAGAUGGUGCUUUAGUUUGGAGGUGCAAAGGAAACCGGGCCGGUUCUCAUGAACCGGGCAGCAGGUCCAAUCACAGCUGAACCAGAGCUGGAACCAGAACCAAUCCAAACCUCACUCCCCCAGAGGAGCUCUGCUGCCUCAUCAGGAAACGGAGGGGCAGUUUUUACCCCCAUCAUGCCCCAGGAACAGGAGCCCCCUCUCCAGCUGCUGCUGCACAGUCAGGGGUCAGAGGUCAGGGGUCGGGGUGUUUCUGAACAGAUCACCGAUGGAGGACUAGACCGUGCCUCCAUCUUGCUUCUCCACAGCCAAUCAUGGCGCAGCAGUCUAAUCUGCAUGAGAACUAUGCACUGACUAACAGCCUUCACGUUCCUCCAGAGGGGGCGCCGUGGAGCGAACCCAGGAACCAGCAUACUCCACCAUAUAUGAAGAUAUGAAAUGUAGUGCCUGUGAAGCUGUAUUCUCCUGAACCUGUUUAUAUCUCCGGAACACCAGUAGCCUUCUGACUCUAGCUGAUGUUCAAUAAUCACCUGAUGUAACCUGCAUGCUCUGCCAUAGCGUCUAGCAAGACAGCAAGUAGGAAAAAAAUGAACUUCCUGUUCAUCUUCACCCUCCUCUUCAUCAACUCACCACCAUCUGUAAGGGACGUCUAACAGGCAUCCACUGCAGGACGAGGGGCCCCAAUGGGCCCUGCCAUGAUGGGACGCCAUCAGGAUGAGACUCACACUCUGGGUCCCUCUCUGAUUGGACCCGUUCUAAGCCCUUCAGCCUCGCACAGUUUUAAUCAGACAAUCUCCAGAUCACUGUUUUUAGCAUCUGCAAACACUCAGCUGGUCCCCUCACACACACAUCAUAUAUAUAUAUAUAUAUAUAUAUAUAUAUAUAUAUGCACACACACUCCUGUUAAUCUCCCACAUGAGGCCUGAAGGUAGCUUAGUGCUUUGUGGGGUCCACACACACAUUCCAGCAUGCAUUGACCAACACCAACAGCCCCACCCCCUACCUCCUCCCCGGGCUGUUUCCUGCAGGAGAACCAAUCGAUGGCUUCUCCAUUUUUCUGCAGCGCUCAGCAUUAUCUAGCCUGACUUCCCCAGACUCCUCCGCUGCCCCCCCCCUCCACCCCCUGCCCCUGGCAGGACUUUAAACGAGCUGCUGCUCCUGCAGGAUCAGAGCGGUUUAAAGGGAAGGUGGCUGCAGUACCUGGGAGCCUCCGUCUUGCCCCCCCAGCCCGGACCAGCUGGGGUCGAUCGGCUCGUCUAGCUCACCUCCAGUGGCUCCUGCAGCCUGUCGAUGCUGCUCACAUCUUUGAAACUCAACAGUUUCUUCAACUCGUGCAUCUCUUUCAGGCAGAAAACUUUGUUGAUGACCAGACUGUUUUCUUAAAGGGCAAUGCCAUUGAAUCUGCAAGCUGUCCGUUUCCGUCUUCUUCAGAGGACACAGAUUAAUUUACAGAAACCAAACAUCUAUCAAACAUUCCUCUUUCAAAGUGCUUGAGAUUUAAGGAAGGAGCAUUAGAUGGCCAGGAGUCGGACUUUAAGAUGUCUUAUUGACAUAUAAUUAUGAAUAUUUGCCUAAAUGGCCAGGUCAUAGCCACACUUUGUUUCCAUGGGAUGCUCCUCAUCCUCUCUGGCUUAGGCUCUGACGGGAGAAAGAGGAGUUAACAUCCUUUUCAUUGUUAGCCUGAUAUUUCUGCUGCAGCUGCAGCAAGAUGUUAUAAACUCCAGGAUCUAGCUGAUAACAUAUCAGUUACCCAAAGGGAAAUGUACAUGACCUGGUUAUUUAUCCAUUUCUUAUCAAUGAAAAAUGUUAGUAAAUAUGUCAAAAAGGCUUUAUGGUAGUAAAGCAAAGCAUGGUGAAAGAUUUAUACUUUCAUAAUUUACUAAAGUGUGACAUUUACCAAUGUUUAGCUAUUUAGCUUAUAAAGUCUUCAGUAUAAAUUAUUUAGCGGCUUUCCACAUGUAGAAACUUUGGCAGAAAUUUUCUUUGAAAGCUUUUUUUAAAAUCCUUUUUUCUAAAUCUGAAUAAUUAAAUUUCUCUCCCAGAAGAUAUUUUCUACAUUAAAUGUCUUAACCUUAUAAGAUCUGAAUAGUUUGCUAUGAAUGUUGGCAUUUGUAUGCUAACAGAAUGAAAUCAUGCUGAGCUUGUGAGUUGGGACGUCAGUACACCGAUAACAUAGUGACUUGUGCAUGUUAAUAAAAAAUUAGCAAGGCUGACUAAACAUAAAAUUACAUACAAGCAUUAGCAUGAGCCUGCUAACACUGAAUAAAACCUAAAUAGCUGUGGAAAUUAGCCAUAUGCUACCAUUCUCAACAAAUACAUGAUUAACUAAACUUCCUCAAUAACUUAAACUCUUGAUAAUUAGUGGGGUUCUUUGUUAGAAAUUAGUUUCAGAUUUUAGCAUUAGACCGCUAAUAGUAAAUAAAUGUUCAAAAAUUGGAUUAAAUGUAGAGAUUAACCCUAGCUGGCUAAGAAUAAAUUAAACCAUAAUAAUUAGUUGAGUAUGUUACCAUUGGUUUAUUAACACAAAUGACAACAAAUUAGUCUGCUAAUAAGUAAUAAUAUACUGUCCAUUAGCAAAAUGCUAACAUUUUGAACAUAGCUGAUAUUAGCUGGAAGGAUUAGAAAUCCUCAUUAGAAAUCCUUAAAAAAACUGUGGACAUUAGUGUUAGCAUCAGCAAUAAAUAAAACCACAUUAAUUGUGAAAUGAAGCAUUAGCAUGUUAAAACUGAAUCAAAUCAAAAUAAUUAGUAUGGACAUUAGUAGCAUGUUAACACAGUGACUUGUAUAUAGACUUAGCAGCAGAGAUUAGUAACACUAAAACUAACAUUCAUUUCCUAUAGAUAUAAGUGUUAGCAGAUUACUAAUAGAUAAAAUUACAUUAAGUAACUGUUGAUGCUAGCGUUUGUAUCUUAAUGCUAAAUGAAAUCAUCAAAUAAUCAGCCGUGGAAGUAUCAGCAUGUUAACAUUAAUAAUAUAGCUAAAACUAUUAGUUGUGAUUAAUAGCAGUUCCUAAGCAUGUGUUAAUUAGAUGGGGACAAUAGUGUUAGCACUAGCUCUGAAGAAAACCAAAUUCAUUAGCUGUGAGCAUAAGCACUAAAAAUACAAUUAAAUUAUAAGAAAUAGUGUGAACAUUUGCUACAUGCUCACAUGUUAUUAGCAAAUAUUACAUAAACUUACUUAAAAGUAGGAAUUAGUAACAAACAAUAAUUAGCUCACAAUAAUUAGCUGGAUGCUAGCAUUACCCUGCUAACACUAAAAAAAACCCAGCUGGCUGUUACCUUUAGCAUGCUAAUAUUGAAGAAAUUCCAGUAACUAGCUGUGGACAUUAGUAGCAUGUUAAUUAGUUGUGGUAAGUGGUAGUAGAACAGAUCAGUAAGAUUUCCAUGAACCCCUGGUAUUUCAAGGAGUUGUGGUCCACAGCUGCUUGUAAAGUUAAAAUCUAUAAAUACUUGAGACUCCCUCUAAACUCUUUUAACUGCCUGCUUUCAAUAUCAAAAGCUAAAUUUACCUUAAUUUGCAUUAGUCCCGUCAUAGUACUACUUCAGAACAUAACAAACUGUCCUCAUUAUUUCUGCUUUUGAGGGUUCAGACAAUCAGUGCCAAGGAAAAUAAAUGGCGCUCCAGUUUUGUGUCAAGAAGCAUUGUAUCAGGUACUUCAGCUGCCCAAGAUGCAUUUUCUUUUAAAUAUUCUAGAUGUGGUCUGCAAAAAGAAUAUGAAAAAAUGUACUUUUUCCAUGACUCUCCAAAUAGACGGGGUCCACCAUAGCAAAACUUUACAAUAAUAAGGUUAAAAGCCUAUUGUCAUAUUAAUUUUUGGCGUUAGCAGCCUGGCAGAAGAUAAGACAAUUUUGUAUUAAAAUUAGCAUUAGCUUUGGAACAAGUACUAGUCACUGCCAAUGACAUUAGUGAGAGUUUAUCAUCAAUUAGUGAUGAUAAACAUUUCAACUUCCAACUCACUGCUGCUGAUCAGAAGGCUAACUGGAGAACUCAAGCAAGUUUUAAGGUUUAUCAGGACAAAAAUGGAUGGAAGUGGAACAAAACAUGGCUGGCCAGCAGAGCAUUGACAUUGCCCUUUAGGAGAAUAGAAUAGAAUAGAAAUAUUAGCAUCAGGCUUUACUCCACACUGUGUUGAAAUCUCUUGUAUAACUGAAUCCAGGGAUUCGUUUUUACAGUCUUUCCAAACUGCCCUCCUGUUUUCCAGGCUCUUGACGUUUUUAACCGUUUGAACCAAUCACCAGUGAAAUAAUCAGUUUGAUCAGCCUUAAGGAAUCGUCUCGUUGCCUUUGUCCAGGUGCCCUGGAGGUGGCGCUAUGCGUAGCUAACGACAAUCUUUAGGAAGGAGAGCUUUAUAAUCCCUUGAGCGAGGCUGGAGAGGCAGAACCACACCGUUUCCCAUCAUUCCCUGCUCACUGCCUGAAUCACCAUGGAAACCAGCUCAAUCAGCCCUUCCGUCCAUCCUCACCUGAAACGUACCGAUACCUCGUGCCUCAACAGCAAGGCGGCACUUUGAGCCGACCUGGUGUCACCUGAUGUCCAGUGUUUCAUUUGGCCGGUUCUGUUCUACCGGGUCGUUCUGUCUGUCUGUCUGUCCGUCACCGCCGCCAUGUCCGCUCAGACUCAACUUACUGAAAGCAAAAUGUGCGUUUCCUAUGCAACCACAUAAAAAUAAAAAUGCUAAAGCUAA